rnacentral:lncRNA from 1 species
ACCGCAAGAGUAAGCUACGGCCAACGCAAGCUCUGCCUUGGCCACGAGCAUAAAGCUACGAUCUUGACCAUAAGUAUAAAGCUACGACCUCACCGCAAGUGUAAGCUGUGGCCUAUAUAAGCUUUGCCUUGACGGCAAGUAUGAAGCUAUGGUCUUGACCGCAAGUAUGAAGCUACAGUCUCACCACAAAUGUAAGCUGCGGCCUACAUAAGCAUGGCCUUCACCGCAAGUAUGAAGCUAUGG